UACGUGGGGUGCAAGCGUUGUUCGGAGUUACUGGGCGUAAAGCGCGUGUAGGCGGUUCGCUAAGUUCGAUGUGAAAGCCCUGGGCUUAACCCAGGAACUGCAUUGAAAACUGGCGGACUUGAGUCCGGGAGAGGGUCGCGGAAUUCCUGGUGUAGAGGUGAAAUUCGUAGAUAUCAGGAGGAACACCGGUGGCGAAGGCGGCGACCUGGACCGGUACUGACGCUGAGACGCGAAAGCGUGGGGAGCAAACAGG
rnacentral:rRNA from 1 species